GUCCGUAGGGGAUUUCUUGAAUAGCCCGUUUGGCAGACAGUUCCGCGAUCUCUGCGGUAAUUAAUCCGGCCUGCUCUGCCGGUAGUUUCAGCUCCUGUGGGAGAAACGUCUGGACAGGGGGAGACAAUAAAUCCAGGCGGAAACCUCUGACCGCACUGAGAACCCAAACAUCCGUGGUGAUCAUACCCCACACAUCGAGAAACAGUGCCAAUCUGCCCCCCACACUCGUUCUGCAAGAUACACGUGUUGGUGUACUCACCGUAAGGGCGUCUGUAUGAGGGUUGUCCACGACCUCCCCGACUCUGCCAUGGUCUCCCCCGUGAGGGAAAAAAGGGCGUUGGCUUAUAGUCUUGGUAGGUCCGGGGGGCGGAAAAGGAACCUCUGUGAGUCCUCGGGGGACCUCGAGCUCCACGGCCGGGCGGACGGCUCCUAUACCUCCCGGCCCCAUGGGAAACCUUAGGGCCGAACACCCUCUUCAGGUUGGACUGCG